UCUGUGUGUCUAUGUUGAAAAUUGAAUCAAUAAAACUGAACAGAAAAAACACCUGCACACAACACACAUACAUACAAUAAAAGAAUGAUAAUUGUAAUGACAGUUAGUAUAACGAUAGUGGAAAACGGUGUUGAAAAGGUAGAAAUAGAAUCGAA